UGGUGCUUAGGCGGGGAGGUAGCGGUGCCCUGUACCUGCAAUCCGCUAUAGCAGGGCUGACAUCCCUGGUGCGGCUUACCGCACAUCAAAUUACAAUGUAUUGACGGUGUUGACGGUUGGGUCCCGUGCAAGGUCGCAGCGCUGAAUCCCGUCAGGUCCGAGAGGAAGCAGCGGCAAGCGUUUGUAUCCUGUGCCGCGGGGUUGCCUGACUUGAGCCGGCAAUCAUGGUAAUUUUGAUGCAGUAGGAAGUCAAACCGGGGCGCGCCA
rnacentral:SRP_RNA from 1 species